rnacentral:rRNA from 1 species
UACGUAGGGGGCUGGCGUUGUUCGGAAUCACUGGGCGUAAAGCGCACGUAGGCGGAUCUUUAAGUCAGGGGUGAAAUCCCGAGGCUCAACCUCGGAACUGCCUUUGAUACUGGGGAUCUUGAGUCCGAUAGAGGUGGGUGGAAUUCCUAGUGUAGAGGUGAAAUUCGUAGAUAUUAGGAAGAACACCGGUGGCGAAGGCGGCCCACUGGAUCGGUACUGACGCUGAGGUGCGAAAGCGUGGGGAGCAAACAGG